UAUGACUCACGAAAUUCCAAA
rnacentral:piRNA from 1 species